AGUGAACGCUGGCGGUAGGCCUAACACAUGCAAGUCGAACGGCAGCACAGUAAGAGCUUGCUCUUACGGGUGGCGAGUGGCGGACGGGUGAGGAAUACAUCGGAAUCUACUUUUUCGUGGGGGAUAACGUAGGGAAACCUACGCUAAUGCCGCAUACGACCUACGGGUGAAAGCAGGGGAUCUUCGGACCUUGCGCGAUUGAAUGAGCCGAUGUCGGAUUAGCUAGUUGGCGGGGUAAAGGCCCACCAAGGCGACGAUCCGUAGCUGGUCUGAGAGGAUGAUCAGCCACACUGGAACUGAGACACGGUCCAGACUCCUACGGGAGGCAGCAGUGGGGAAUAUUGGACAAUGGGCGCAAGCCUGAUCCAGCCAUACCGCGUGGGUGAAGAAGGCCUUCGGGUUGUAAAGCCCUUUUGUUGGGAAAGAAAAGCAGCAGGUUAAUACCCCGCUGUUCUGACGGUACCCAAAGAAUAAGCACCGGCUAACUUCGUG
rnacentral:rRNA from 1 species